rnacentral:rRNA from 1 species
UACGUAGGGGGCAAGCGUUGUCCGGAAUCAUUGGGCGUAAAGAGCGUGUAGGCGGCCCGGUAAGUCCGCUGUGAAAGUCCAGGGCUCAACCCUGGGAUGCCGGUGGAUACUGUCGGGCUCGAGUCCGGAAGAGGAGUGUGGAAUUCCUGGUGUAGCGGUGAAAUGCGCAGAUAUCAGGAGGAACACCAAUGACGAAGGCAGCACUCUGGGACGUGACUGACGCUGAGACGCGAAAGCGUGGGGAGCAAACAGG